GGGGGUGGGUGGAGAGGGUCUACGGGUGCGGGGUAGCGGUGGUGGGGGUUAGGUGUGGGGUGCUCGUACCGCGAGGCCGCGCGGCAUCCUAGGCCUAGCCCGAGCCGUGGGGACCGCGGGGUGAGGAGGAAGGAUACGGGGGCGUGGGGUUGGAAGGGGUUGAGGCGGUCGUUGGUGCUGUCGGCGGCUACGUAGCGGCUGGACGGUUCUGGGUGGUGCCGGCGGAAACUACGUGGCGGCUGGACGGUAUGGGUGGUGCCUCACGCAGGACAGGGUCUAGGCGGUGGAGGGGCGAGUUGGCCGAAGAAGGGAGACCAGUUGGCAGCACCAACGGAAGUACCUUUGGUCGCGGCGGUGGAAGUUGGUGGCGACAGUCGAUAGAAACCUAGGUCACGUAGCCGCGGGACCGGGCGGUUGGUGUCGCGGCGCAUGCGCCUAGGCGGCCUAGGGUCCGAGUAGAGGAAGGGGGUUGGAAGAGGAAGUUACCGCCAGUUGGGGGCCGUUGAUUUACCCGGGGAAGGGGUCGCCACUGCCACGUUUCGAAGAUGUCAAACACCGCACACGCCGACGUCACGUUGUCCACGUGCGAACGUCAGGCGAUCGCGCCGUCGGGCUACCUAGGUGAGGCUGGAGACGUCGCGGUACCGGGACGGAGGAGCGCCUAGGUGAGAGGGGGAGCUGACUGUCGAGAGGUUCGGUAUGACGCGGGGACGGGGCACGUUGCCACCAGUAGAAGAGCGUAGUUAGACCACCGGCGGGGCUACCUAGGGUGGCCUAGGUCGGCGGUAGCCGGGCCCCGCGCCGGUUGGGGGACGUACUGCACGGCGGUCGUUUGGAGGGCGCGCCCAGUGGGCCGUGGUCUAGGCUGGCGGUGCCCGGACUAGUACAACGUCUCCGCGCGCACAACCGAGGGAGAGGCAAAGAAGGAAAACCGCACGACGUCACGUGUCUCCGCCACGACGUCACGUGUAGGUGUGGCUACGAUGUUGGGGGUUUGGAGUCCAGGCCGCCGGGGGACACGAACGUCAAGUAAAAAACGUACAGUUAAUGACAAAAAAUGUCAAAGUCUACCUCCCAUCCUUCGUCGAGAUGGCUCGAAAGUGGCCCCUCUAUGAAGACCACUCGGCGGGUCUCGGGGAGAACGGGUACAGCGAGUCGAUCCCGUUUGACGAACGAGUUCCUACUGCUGCCUCGUCACCCCAACGUCAAGCGAAACCUUCCCAGGGGGCUACCAGACAGCGUUAUCACGUCAACCGAACGUCGCCACGCAAACGACACCGGUACGUCAAGCCCGGGGCCCGUCCACGUCAACUGAACGUGUCCGACCACCGAGUGGGGGGUACGCGUGACAAAAACACAAAAAGACAUCUAUUUAGAUUCACGUUGAGAACUCCAAAUGAAAUGACUAAAAACGUCCUUCUUGGACCACGUGAAGCCAACCUGCGGCGAAACUUAGGAAAACGUCAAAGGGACCAGGUAAAUCAAACCUACCGGCUCGGGGGAGGCACGUCAGAUAGCCGCGCAGGUACGUCAUGUCGCUCAGACACAUUAAAACACAAGACAAACACGUAACAAACACGUUACAUCGCACGUACUAGUACGUCAAACCAUGAUCAUUAAACACGCACACAUAGAAACUUCGAGUGAAACAAGAGAGUGCGUUAAACCAUAUUUUGAGGUGACAACAGGUGAACCAUUUGUGUUG
rnacentral:rRNA from 1 species